rnacentral:rRNA from 1 species
UACGGAGGGGGCAAGCGUUAUUCGGAAUUAUUGGGCGUAAAGGGCGUGUAGGCGGCUUUGUGUGUCUCAUGUGAAAGCCCUCGGCUCAACCGGGGAACUGCAUGGGAAACUGCUGAGCUUGAGUCCGGGAGAGGAAAGUGGAAUUCCCAGUGUAGCGGUGAAAUGCGUAGAUAUUGGGAGGAACACCAGUGGCGAAGGCGGCUUUCUGGACCGGUACUGACGCUGAGACGCGAAAGCCAGGGGAGCAAACGGG